rnacentral:rRNA from 1 species
AACGAACGCUGGCGGCGUGCUUAACACAUGCAAGUCGAACGUGGAAGGGGCUUCGGCCCUGAGUAAAGUGGCGCACGGGCGAGUAACACGUGGAUAAUCUACCCGGUACUCUGGGAUAACACUUCGAAAGGGGUGCUAAUACCGGAUAAGCCCACGGGCUCUUCGGAGCUUGCGGGAAAAGGUGGGGACGUGCGGGCCUACUGAUAUCGGAUGAGUACGCCGCACAUUAGCGAGUUGGUGAGGUAAUGGCUAACCAAGGCAACGAUGGGUAGCUGGUCUGAGAGGAUGAUCAGCCACACUGGAACUGAGACACGGUCCAGACUCCUACGGGAGGCAGCAGUGGGGAAGUUUGCGCAAUGGCGAAAGCCUGACGCGGCAACGCCGCGUGAGUGAUGAAGGCCUUCGGGUCGUAAAGCUCUGUCAGAGGGGAAGAACCGCCGUACGGAUAAUAACCGUGCGGUCUGACGGUACCCUCAAAGGAAGCACCGGCUAAUUCCGUGCCAGCAGCCGCGGUAAAAC